GACGAACGCUGGCGGCGUGCUUAACACAUGCAAGUCGAACGGAAAGGCCCUGCUUUUGUGGGGUGCUCGAGUGGCGAACGGGUGAGUAACACGUGAGUAACCUGCCCUUGACUUUGGGAUAACUUCAGGAAACUGGGGCUAAUGCCGGAUAGGAGCUCCUGCUGCAUGGUGGGGGUUGGAAAGUUUCGGCGGUUGGGGAUGGACUCGCGGCUUAUCAGCUUGUUGGUGGGGUAGUGGCUUACCAAGGCCUUGACGGGUAGCCGGCCUGAGAGGGUGACCGGCCACAUUGGGACUGAGAUACGGCCCAGACUCCUACGGGAGGCAGCAGUGGGGAAUAUUGCACAAUGGGCGGAAGCCUGAUGCAGCAACGCCGCGUGCGGGAUGACGGCCUUCGGGUUGUAAACCGCUUUCGCCUGUGACGAAGCGUGAGUGACGGUAAUGGGUAAAGAAGCACCGGCUAACUACGUG
rnacentral:rRNA from 1 species